ensembl:lncRNA
CCUCAUCACAGGAGGAAACCCCAGAACUUGCUCUCUGCCACGUGAGUACGCAGCCAAGGCCCCUCCCUCCCCAGCACCGACCUGCCGCCCCCCGGGAAUCCUGGACUUCCCAGCCCCCAGACCGGGCAGAAAUAAAGGAAGGAAGGUAUAUUUGUUACGGCAGCCGGGCUGACUAGGGCAGGGCAGGAGAGCAAGUGCAGCUGGAGUCUGUUCACGCCCCAGAAGCACCAGACCCCAUGCUGGGAGCUGGUCCCUGCGCUGGAAGGGCAGGGCGGGCAGGGCGGGGACAGACCCCCAACCAGCGGCUUUGGGAGCUCGCACCCACCCAGCAGCAGGGUCUGGGCAGAGACGUUGGGGAGAGGAGGUAGCACGCGCUUCAGAAAGGCGGCCUCUGCGCAGGCCUUGACCUCAGGUGGGAGCGCUAACAGGACCUUCCAGGUGGAACGGCUGGAGAGUGCGCAGGGGUGGGGAGGACCAGUCAUGCAGCCUCUCGUACACUGACAUUCCAGCACGAGACCCUUGUGUGUUGGUUUCAGGAGGCUCCCAGCGCCGUCUCAGCAGAAGGGUCCAGAGGCACAAAGGUUCUGACACUUAUGGGUGAUUUCCAGGAACAGCUCGCCCAAGUUGGGUGGCGUCCCCGGCGGGGCUGCAGGCAAAGGCGCACAGCCUCUGAUGAAGCUCCGUGCUGCCCUCUGUUUACCCAGGGGGCCCCUCCCAUGGACGCCCCAGAGUGGGACCCCAACAGAUGCCCAGAGCGCGGAGACCCUGCAGGAAGCAGAGACCCCUCAGGGGGAAGCAGGUGGAGCUGGAAAGGGUGGUGGCCAGCCCCAGCUCGGCCCGCCCCUCCCCUGCCCUCUGGCCUCCUGGACCUCCCACUGCAGAACAAAACAGCCCUGAGAGAAGCUGCUGCCUGCUUCCCAGGAGGCUGAGAGCAGAGGCCGGGGCGAGGAAAACAGCAGUGCCCUCCUCAGUGCCCUGCACCUUCGUAAACAUAAAAUCAGGAGCAUCCCCACGUCCCGAGAGGCUGAGGUUUCAAAGAGGCCGUCCAGGUUUGAUGUCUGUGUUUUUCAAGAGUGGUUUCCUGGCACCCGCUGGAAUCCCAGGGAGCAGCAGGAAAGAGCCGUCAGGUGACGGGCUGUUCACUCUGCGUGGAUUUACUGGGGAUCGUUUAGAGCCCACGUUCAGACAUUCCUCCCCUCGCCCCAGACGAAUAUUUCACAAGUGCGUUGCCUGAUCCCACAAUAAGACCCUGUCUGGAGAGGCGGUGGACAGGAGAAUUCCGCCCGUGCCCACCCUGGUGCAAUGGUCUGGGGCUUCGCAAGGACGAGCCGACAGCCGGCCCAUCCGCAGCGGGGACCUGGAGCCGCGGGCGGCGGGAGGUACAGCCUGGGCCGCGCCGCCUCCCGGACCCCCGCCGGACCCGCAGUGCCCAGCAGUGUGUACAAAUGUGGGUGGCGUUUUGAGAGUGGUCGUAGGCCUGUUCAGCUUCAUACUAAGGAAACGGCUUCAUAUUUUGUAUGUCGUUUCUAAAUUCUCCUUUUCUACCAAUUCAUUUCUAUUGUAUUUUGGAAAGGCCAGUCCACAAUCAAUUGUAAGGAAGAACAAAAAACCCUGAUUGCUCACAGCAGACAGUUUGAAAGACGCUGCUUUCACAGAGAAGACACAGAACCUUUGUGUGUUUCCCAGGGCUGCUGUGAGGAAGCACCACGUUGGGGGGUGGGGAAGCUUGAGACAACGCAGAUUGACACUCCCGAGGUCCCGAGGCCAGUCUGACUCCCUGUGUCACGGGGUCGCGCCCUCUGAGGACUGGCAGAGGACCUGGGCCCCCGGUGUUUUCAGCAUCUGUGGCAUCCAUUAUUCCGAUCUGUGUCUGUCUCCACUCGCUCCCUCUGUGCCCGUCCACACCUGUGGUCGCACCUCCUCCUGGAAGGACACUCGUCACGCACUAGGGCCCACCCUGUGUCCUCGUGUUAAGUUGGCUGCCUUCAGAAACACCCCUCUCCAAACGGGGUCCAUUCUGAGGUACUGAGGGGUUUAGAGUCCAACAUAUCUCUAUGGGGGGCUNGC